CGACACGCACGCCGUCGGUGAAAGGGGUGGGAGCGGACCUCGCUUGGUUUGGGGUAGCUAAAAGGGGAGGGGGUAAGCGUUAAGCAAGGGAGCAGAGGAGGCUGGGCGCGCCGCUGCGUGCGUCUAGCGCGGCGCCGGAGGGCGCCGCCGCGGCAGGCCGCCGAGGUGACGGUCCUCGAGGCUCCCGCCUGCGCUCGAGCUGCGCGCGCGUCCGCCCCACGAAGCGCCGGCGCGGAAGGAGGGGGAGCUAAGGGGAGGGCGGUUUAGGCUCUGAAAGUCCGUCAAGACACUCAAAGUUACAGAAGGUGUUCUUUUCACUCUUUACAUUUGUUCGCGAUACGGUUUUAAUUACUUCUAACCGGCCUUUUCCUACGUUGUCAACAUGUAUUUUUAUUUCACGCUUUCUUCUUUGAUAGGCUGGAACCAAGAGUCACCUCGUUUCUACUCAACCUCGCGAAGAUACGUCGAAUAUCUUUUAUACCUUUUCUAACCUCCUUCCACCGACCACGGCAGGUACUAUCUUGUAGACUAUACCACCUCCGAGAAAUGUUGUACUUAUCCCGUAUAAACAGAGAAGGUCUCCCUUGACGAUGACGACGUCCCAACUAUCGCUACUACUGACUAGUAAUAUUAUAAGACCUACCCUCAUUGUCACUGGUACUCUCAUUGCCAAGUGGUUUUUGAAGAUCCUUCGGUGUCUUCGCACCGGCACGUUUCGAAGUCAGACACAGCUUCCGUAGACUAUGUGCAAUGGGACUAGAUAACGUUAGAGUCGGACGAAGUAGCUCGAUACCUACGGAAAGAAACAACUUCUUCUUUGCAAGACCUCCAUUGUUCGGGGCACGACAACCUUUUUCCUGAGGUGCUCACGGACAACGUUCGUACAUGGUCGCUCUACUGUUCUAUCCACGUAGUUUAUCUGUUCGUUUUGGUCUACGAUUAUUACCACUACUACUUCCACGAGAUCGACGAAAUCGAGACCGUCUCCAGACAGUUUCUCCGAGUGGAGUCCAAAGAGUUUGUAGACCUUCUAGGUCACCAGUUUACAAGGACAGAGGACCAUUUUCAUAGCUGUCUUUUUUACGUCUAAGUCUCUACCCCUCAAGUUUCUACGUACCUAAAGUUCAUCUCCGACUAAUAGGCCUUCCAUCGAAUCCUUCGUCCCUUCGUCUCUGACCACUGAUAGGGUUUCUACGAAGGAUAAAAGACUUAUUGCUUCCAAGACACAGACCGUUCAGAUUCGGUUUUCAAUUCUCCAGUGUUUUCUCUUCUUUCUUUCGACGUGUGUUUGGUCUUUUAGUUAAGCUCCUACUGUCUCUCCGAACGUCACCGUGGCUUCUUCCCACAUCAAGGUCUUUCCGGUUCCUAUAUAGUCUAAACCUACAUAAACCUUCAUUUCCAAGUACCGGUAGAUUGUUUAGUUUGUUUUCUUCGGCGGUUGAUAAAAAACCACUACUUAACAGUCGAGAGCUGCGCAAUGUAUGUAAUCGACUAUAGAGACACUUAUAAGAUGUUGGAAGAAGAUAGCGACUUAGACUUAGUAGCCGUGUCAAGUUCCUACCUUCGUUUCUGUUACUUAGACUACUAUUCGGAUCACACGGACGUCGUCAUAGUAAUAAACUGUUUUUUCUAUUCGGGUCUUUUUGUUUUUUCUAGUUUUCCGUCAGUCUUUAACGUCCGUUGCUCCACCAAUGAUCCUUUUUUCGAUCUGAAAGAUUUCUAGUGGUAGUACUGCCCUCAUGAAGACUUCAUUUCGUCCUACUAACAUUUACACCACAAUUUUACCUCUUUUUCUUUUCUUUCAGAAGGUAUAACUUCUAGAGGUUUCUACUCUUCUUAUGUGAUUUUCUAUCACUCUUCUGGCUCCGAAGACGACUUCUUCCCUUCCAUAGAAGAUUAUUUCGUGUACGACUAAAACCUUUUCUUCGGUACCUAUGCCACCUGUGCUGUCUUUUACGUUAUUGAGUCGUUAGCCUGAGCCGUAGUUUCAGAUUUUCGGCCGCGUUCAAUCCGUAAAACUUUCGUGAACGAGGUCUCUCGUUCGGACGACUCCCGCGACUACUAAGCACGCUAUUACAAAGGAUGGGUCACUUAUUGCAAUGCCUUGAGUUCCUGUUCGAGAGAGUGACGAAUAGAAGUGCAAAGGAGGCCUCUACCACGUACAGACUCACCAAGAUAUCACGUUAACUAAUAGGUACCAAACGCUUCUCACUUAAGCACCUCAUGAACUUAGUACAUUUCGACCCAGUACAUGGUUCCGACUGAGCACAGCUCACCCCACAAUAUUCCUCAAGAGAACCUUUCGGUGCAGCUAACAGUUUCGUCAAAAAUGUUCUCCUCUCCCUUUUCGAAAGAGUCAUAGCGCUCAGUCAGUCUGUUGUGAUACGACUUGAAGUCAGACCACAAGCUCUUCCAGAUGGUUGACUAGAACGAGCCGGGAAUCGUCAACCCGUCGCGCAAUAUCGGACAGUAGGGUUUUGUUCUCUUGAAGUACUACCCUCACAAAACUGACAGCUGGCAUUAGCGACAGCCCAAGUUAAACUAGCAGGCCUCGACCCACAACUCAAACACUACCUAUAACUAACAUACGGCAAUGUGGGUGACCUUUUAAAGGGACUCAGAGAGUCUGCGGUUUUAUAGCACUUAUUUAUAAUGUCGUCGAAGAGUCUUCAUUUCAAGCUCCUAGCCAGGUUUCUCAUACCACCACCUCCACGUGGUUCUAAGUAUGGUUUACCCCUACGUAAACUAAGCUACCGUGUCCGGUUUUGGUGUCGUUUGCUCCGAUGUCAGCGACGUGUCGUCCGUUACAUGCCGGUCGGUACAUGUGACAGUGUCUAAGUCCUUUCCCUUCGUCUAUAUUCCCGAGAACGACUUGAUAGCGCACGAGAACUAUUCUUCCUUCGGAACGACCAUCUCAACUCCGUGUACUUGCUUCUUCACAGACCUUUCGUUUUCCUACCCCUUUAAUAAUCUCUAAACCUCGUGAAGUCCUUCGUUAUGCGGUACCAAGAACAUGUCGACUCUCUAAGCUUACUAGUACACCGAAGUCGGGACGAAACAGACGCCGUUGCCUUGUGUAAAGUACCCGUCGGUUGCGUCAGUAUAGGAUUAUUUAGGUGCCUUUUACCACCUCGAAAAUUGUCUUGUGGUCUGGGUAGAUCAUUGGAAAAACCAAUAUAAUUAGUCCUCAGACCUAGGGUUCACUACCUCUAAUAACUCUGAAGUUCCAGGUUUCGAUUUUGCUACCAACUACAGCGACAAGUCCGUUACACGUUUCAUUCACUUCCUCUCUUGCGAAAACGGUUCUAUCCCCUUCGUGACCUGUUAGACUUGGAGGCACCGUGGCCGAGACCAAGCUCGUAUGAUCCGUAUUCCGCCUAUGGUGGGCUAAGGCCCGUCCGCUUAAGUCUAUUGUCGCGGAGCCCGGCGAAGCUGGGACGACGUCGUUGAUUAUUGUAAAGGUCAGGUUCUCAUAACGGGUUGCCGUCGCUGAGGCUUCGGGUCAAGGGCAGCCUCGACUAAAGCAGGACACAUCGCUGGUAGGACUACUAUGUCUUAACGUGCCUCUUCGUCAUAGUGGGACGCCUUCACCGCGUGUAAGAGCUGAGCCGCGACAGCGCCGACGUUGGCACGUCGAGCGUCUUGCAGGGGUAGAAGUCCCUCUAACUCUACACGUACCCAUAGUAGUUCUUGGUCUACGACCGCGACUAUGGGUGGGGAUCACCGAUCACAAGUACGUACCGGCUUGUAAGAGAAGAAAGCAAUAAAUAUAUAUGUAUACAUCCUUCUUUCUUUGAACUGUUACCAUACACCGAACAUAAGAUUUUCGAAUGUUCUCAGACAUAUUCCACAUGGAUUGGAUAGAAUAAUCAAUAAUAAUAUGAUAAUAGCACAUCAGAGGGAACUAGAAAAAAGCUCGCAUUUUUAUAAUUUUGGUUAUUUCACGUUUUCUUUCCCCACGUACCC
rnacentral:rRNA from 1 species